CGGAUAGCGUUAAAUACAACUUGUAGCGUUUUUCGUGAGUUUGGAUGGUGUGAAACUACUAAUUUCUCUCCUGUCAACAAGAACGGACACUGCCAAACGUCUCAGAUAAAAUAUAUAAAGAGAGAGGAAUGUAAAGAGAUCAAAAACUUGAUGAAAGUUAACGUCUGUUAAGUGUUUCAUCGAUGGAGGGAGAUGUGAGCUUCAACACGCCUCAUACACAGUUUCUGAAUGGCUUUGCUUCUGCCUGACAGGCGAAGGAGCCCUUGAUGGAUGAAGAGGUGGAGUAGGACCCUGGCCUGUAAUAGUGUAACAUAUUAGUUUGGAGUGUUACCACAAUGAGAAAUUCUGCGGAUAAAACGAAAUGCAUCGCAAGGCCACUGAAACAAAAUGAAGGAAGUCAGGAAGAUAAUGAAGUGCUCGCUGAGACGUGAG